rnacentral:rRNA from 1 species
AUGAACGCUGGCGGCGUGCCUAAUACAUGCAAGUCGAGCGAACAGACGAGGAGCUUGCUCCUCUGACGUUAGCGGCGGACGGGUGAGUAACACGUGGAUAACCUACCUAUAAGACUGGGAUAACUUCGGGAAACCGGAGCUAAUACCGGAUAAUAUAUUGAACCGCAUGGUUCAAUAGUGAAAGACGGUUUUGAUGUCACUUAUAGAUGGAUCCGCGCCGCAUUAGCUAGUUGGUAAGGUAACGGCUUACCAAGGCAACGAUGCGUAGCCGACCUGAGAGGGUGAUCGGCCACACUGGAACUGAGACACGGUCCAGACUCCUACGGGAGGCAGCAGUAGGGAAUCUUCCGCAAUGGGCGAAAGCCUGACGGAGCAACGCCGCGUGAGUGAUGAAGGUCUUCGGAUCGUAAAACUCUGUUAUUAGGGAAGAACAAAUGUGUAAGUAACUAUGCACGUCUUGACGGUACCUAAUCAGAAAGCCACGGCUAACUACGUG